rnacentral:rRNA from 1 species
GACGAACGCUGGCGGCGUGCCUAAUACAUGCAAGUCGAGCGCAGGAAACUGACGGAACUCUUCGGAGGGAAGGCAGUGGAAUGAGCGGCGGACGGGUGAGUAACACGUAAGGAACCUGCCUCAAGGAUUGGGAUAACUCCGAGAAAUCGGAGCUAAUACCGGAUAGUUCAACGGACCGCAUGGUCCGCUGAUGAAAGGCGCUCCGGCGUCACCUUGAGAUGUCCUUGCGGUGCAGUAGCUAGUUGGUGGGGUAACGGCCCAACAAGGCGACGCUGCAUAGCCGACCUGAGAGGGUGAUCGGCCACACUGGGACUGAGACACGGCCCAGACUCCUACGGGAGGCAGCAGUAGGGAAUCUUCCACAAUGGACGAAAGUCUGAUGGAGCAACGCCGCGUGAGUGAUGAAGGUUUUCGGAUCGUAAAACUCUGUUGUAAGGGAAGAACACAUACGAGAGGAAAUGCUCGUACCUUGACGGUACCUUACGAGAAAGCCACGGCUAACUACGUGCCAGCCGCCGCCGUAA